UUUGAGGCGGAUACAGGUAUUACCGACAUGUAGUAGUGCAUUAGCGCAAUGGUGGUAUAAACAACAUGAUUUUCUAAAGCGAUAUCCUUGGAAUAAGGUAUCGUCUAUAUUUCAAGAAAAUCAUGUGAUUUAAACGUAUUUUUUGGAUGCCGGAAGAGUUAGCGGUGGCGUCUUGAAGAGUGCUGCUUAGAGGAGGAUUCAGUAUCGUUGAUAUGCAAAAUGGAAGAAUUACCCUGAAACCACUCUGUCAUCCUGCCAAGACCACAAGGAAGAAGAGCAAUGAAGUCCAAUAGUGGAUCAUGCAUGUUUAUUUUUAUGGCGGCAGCAGUCGCAGCCGGCCGCGCGGCGCCAUUCGUGCAGCGGUUUGAGUACCUGGCGUACGCGCGAGCACGAGCGGCGGCC